GAUGAACGCUGGCGGCGUGCCUAACACAUGCAAGUCGAGCGAGAAUUCUUUAACUGAUUCUUCGGAUGAUUUUAAAGAAGGAAAGCGGCGGACGGGUGAGUAACGCGUAGGCAACCUGCCUCUCACAGAGGGAUAGCCAUUGGAAACGAUGAUUAAAAACCUCAUAACGCCGCUCCGGGACAUCCCGGAACGGCCAAAGAUUUAUCGGUGAGAGAUGGGCCUGCGUCUGAUUAGCUAGUUGGUGAGGUAACGGCCCACCAAGGCGACGAUCAGUAGCCGGACUGAGAGGUUGACCGGCCACAUUGGGACUGAGAUACGGCCCAGACUCCUACGGGAGGCAGCAGUGGGGAAUAUUGGGCAAUGGACGCAAGUCUGACCCAGCAACGCCGCGUGAAGGAAGAAGGCUUUCGGGUUGUAAACUUCUUUAAGGGGGAAGAGCAGAAGACGGUACCUGGAGAAAAAGCAACGGCUAACUACGUAG
rnacentral:rRNA from 1 species